rnacentral:lncRNA from 1 species
CUAAAGGAAACAUGAAGGUGGCGUCAAAACCCACUUUGCUGUGACGUACUUGGUGAUAGUCACAUGUAUUUUAUUAAUGGCAUUUUUCCACUGCAUAGCAAAAGAGUUGCUGUACAUAAGUUGAAAUGUUAAAGCUGACCUUUGACAGGGAAGUGAGACUCAAAUGUCCUCUCUUCCUCUUUCGCAUUAAAAAAGCCUUUUGCUUUUUCUGAGCAGUGUAGUUGUACGUGUCACCGAGAAGACAAAUUCAUUAUUUGUGCUGUUGCAAUGUGGGAGUAGUCACCCUGUCUCUUAACUGGAUGACUCUGGAGCGACUACAGUCCUUCAAAUCUUCCAGUCACCGAGCUUUGGAAACAAACCAUCCCAGCAGCCUCUAAGAAAGAAAACUGAGGACUUAACAAAUGGAGAGAAAUAAGAAAACCCUUUCCCUGUUUCUUCUGCUGCCUGUGCUGCUGCUCUGCAGAAGUGAUGAGUGUCCCAGCCUGCCACAGAAUCUCAAUUGCUACACUGACUACAAUAGAAUCAUCACAUGUUUGUGGAACAGCAGAUCCGUGUCUGAUGACACUGCAUGCACGAUACAUGCUCAAUAUAAAUCUAGCUACAUUUCUUACAACGCUUCCUGUGACCUAAAGUCUGUUGACAUCUCCAGACCAGCCCUAAAGGAGUGCUCCCUGAUCUUUGAAAUGGAAUACACUUUUCUGUCUUUCCAUGUGUUGUCCAUGAAUCUGAGCUGUGCUCAUAUGAAGCAGAGUCUAAUCACUUCCUACAUGCCAUCCUGUCACAUAAAGGUGAAUCCUCCUUCGAAGCCAGAAGUCAACGUCACCUCUGUUUCCUGGUUGUCCCAAGACCCUGAACAUGAAAGGAUCAGUUCAUACAGAAGUGAACUGCAGUGGAA